CACCUCCAAGCCAGGAAGAGGGCCCUCACCAUGCUCCUGACCAUGCUGGUUCCCUUCAGCAGCAUGUGAAAUAGAUGUUUGUUGUUUAAGCCACCCAGUCUACAGUAUUUUUGUUACAGAAGCCUGAACUGACUUGACAAUUAGGUAGCUCCAGGCCUAGUUUUAGAUCAAAUGAGGCCUAGGGGCAUCCUUGGAUAUCUUUUCUCUCAUAGGUAAAUAUAUGAUCUUUACAUUAAUUCUGCAUUUUUUUUCCCCAAAGCCUCUGGUAGAGAGCCUCCCAAAUAGCCAGCUUCCUGUAAAUGUAGCUGAAUGGUGGAAUUUGCCUGGCUGCUUCUCUUAUUCAGGAAGCCUGAAAAACUGGCCCUAGAGGAUCUGUAAAUGGGGAGCUGCUGCAGCUUCCUGCAACUCAGCUCCCAGAUCCUUCAUUCCCCGCCCAGCCAGACAGCAUCCUAAGGCUGAUGUUUAGCGUUCGGCAUUGAGGUCAAAUCAGGGAUGAGCUGCUUUGAAUCCUUCAUUUCAUUGAUGGAGGCAGAUGUUCUGAGACAUUAAGGAACAUCCCCACAGUCCUCCAAGGUCUUCUUAUAUGGCACCUACCUUUAUUUACUUUCUUAUUAGAAAAGAUCGCAUCAUUCUUAGAUGGCCAUUCCUGGGAUAGGCAGAGAGGGAACUCUGUGUGCACCCUUCCUGCAGUGUGUUGGUGGGGGAUACAGUCCCAUUGCACAUUUUCAUCCUGUGACUUUCACCCACAGCUCUGUGGAAAUGCUGCCUGGAAGAAAAGCAUAUCAGGGUAUCGUUGGAGAGGUUGUCAUGGGUGGAUCCUUGGGGUCUAGAGGUCUCAGCAGAGAGACGAGGGAAAGAAGGAGUGUUCAGGGGUAGUCAUGUAUUGGGAAAUCCAAGCCUUUGUGUGGGUAUCUCCUGUGUUCAUGUGGAACCCAAGAAUUCUCAACUAUUCUUGAGGACUCUGCUUGGACCUUAUAAGGAUCUGUGCCUUCCUGGAUAGCUGAAAAUUGGUGUCAGUCACAUUUUCAACAGCUUUUAUUGGGUGCCUGCCUCUGCAUCUUGUAUUGUCAUAGCAGUUUACACACAGCAAGCCAG
rnacentral:lncRNA from 10 species